GAAGUGAAAGAAAAACUGACAACCUAAACAAAGUCCAGAAAUCAAGAGUAACAUGCAAAACUGUACACAAGAUAAAACAAAAACUACCUAAAAAAAACAAAAAGUUUAACGCAGAAAACAUAAACUAACAAAGAAAAAUAGAAAUCUCCCCCAAUAGACCACACUUAAACUACACAGUGUCCUCAAUGUGUCACAAGUGUUGGUAUCGUCGGGGGUAAUUUUCGAAGAGUAUAGCGCAACGGAAUUAAAACUCAGAGAACGGAAAGUGUGUUCGAUCACAAUUAAAAAUAAUUUGGUCCUUUUAUCAAAAAUAAUUUUCUUUUAGAAAAUUAAUCAAACAGUUGAUAUGCUUACAAUAAUAUGAGCGUAGGGAAUAGAAAAAUCACACAGAUAUUUUUAUACUGGUUCGAUUCAACAGAAUCUACGUCCAGUCGUUAAUCACUACAAAUAGUGAUUAACAG
rnacentral:lncRNA from 1 species